rnacentral:lncRNA from 1 species
CGGCCGCCACCCCGUACGGUGUCUUCUGCAAGGGGCUCUCCCGCACCCUGCUCGCCUUCUUCGAGCUGGCCUGGCAGCUGCGAAUGAACUUCCCGUACUUCUACAUCGCGGGCUCAGUGAUCCUCAACAUCCGCUUGCAGGUACACAUUUAGAGCCCUGUCUGCGUUGCGCGCCACCCGGGACCGCAAGAUGGCCGCUUCCCAGACCGCUCCGCGGCAUCUUCAAGAUGCGCGAGAAGAACGUGCAAUCUCGCGAGAUCAGGCUCGCUCGCGGGCAGUCUGCUCGCAGCCUACCCUUCCUAGGAGUUGGAGGAGGGAAAGCUAGCUGAUUCGAUUAAGAGCAAAAAAUUGUUCCAGCAGCAGAGCAGCUGUCCAAGGAAGUAUCCAAAGGAACUGCACCUCAGUAAACUCCUGGCAAGUCUUAGGAUAUGACAAAGGGCACAGGAUGCAUUAUGAGAAAGGAAGGCUAAGGUUUUCAAGAACACAGAUUUACAUCAAACUUGCGUUCUGAAUUAAUCUUUGAGAAUACUGGACUGUGAGCUAGACAUUGAGUAAGAGGUUUGUUAUAUCAAGAAUGUGAUCUAAAAAAAACAUUCAUCUCUUCCUCCCACAAGAGGAUAUUUUGAAACUGUGGGUCAAAGUCAGACUACAGGAGAGCCCUCAAAUAUGCCAAAUGUGACAGACAGCAGGAUUUUGAAAAUAUAGUGGGAGUAUGUGAAGAUGUUCCAGUCAAAGAGACAUUGUUUCCAAAGGAAAGAAAGUCCAGUCGCCUCACAGGAAUUGUGUAUUCCCUGGUAGUAAUGCAAAUGGACCACAUAUGGCUUUCUUCUUUAAAGAGAAUACCUAAUUUUAGCUACAGAGUAAAAUGCUGAUGUUACAAACCGUGACAAGUGGAGGGACAAGAAAGUAAAUGGACUGAUGGUGCCAUUGUGGACUGGGAGGGUAAAAGCUGUACAUUUGUGAACAAAAAGAUUUCCUUGUUAUGGUCAGCCAUGAUUCUAACUGCUAAAUGGAGGCAGUAACAACAUGACCUAAAGAGUAAACAUCCAGAGAUGGAAUGUUCUCAAUGUCUGAAAAGGAGCAGAUAUCUGGUGUAUGUGAAUGUAUGCUAGAGAUUUUUUACAAGCCUGUGGUGAAUUAGUAAUUGUAUUUUAUUUUGAAAGUUAAACAGGUAAUUAGAAACCCCAAGAAAAAUAAAAUAAUAAAACAUUAUGCUGCCCUACCUCAUGUGAAUAAUACUGUACCUGUAAUAUAAGUUCUCACUUAACAGGAAAUAGUUAUGUAACAUUGGGAGGAUGGAAACUGAAAAAGAUGUAUGUGUAAUGACACAAAGUGCAUCAAGAUCUAGACUGAAGAUUUGAUUAAGUUGUAGACUUACCAUGUAGACUUAAGUUGUGGACCUACCCUUCAUGAGGCUCUAGGUAUGAUACGCAGCGCUACAAAAACAUAAAUAAAGGUCAAAUACAUAAAGAAGCAACAUAAACUAUGAUUAGGAAAAUUAAUGCAAAACCAUCUAGGAGCUAAAAGUGGUUAUUUCUAGAGAAAAUGUAUGGGGAUAGGUAAAGGAAAAGCAAGGCUUUGUUGAUUUUUGUUACUACUCUAAGGUGAUUUCUUUUAAAUCAUGUAUAUGGUUUUCUUCCAUUAAGAUCUAAUUAAAAUAUUUUGAUUUUAAAAGCUCCCCAGGCAAGUAUACCACAGGUCAAAUGACCAAAAGUAUUGUGGGAUUGAAAUAUAAAUCAUACAAUGAGCUGCUACUGUUUGAUAAUAUCAAUAUAUAUUAAUGUGGAAGUAUUCUGCCUAAUAUAGCUUGGAAAUGAUUUUCAUUUCCACUUGUGAUUUUUCUUACAGAUUCAUGUAACUGUAUUCUUUCCGAACACGUGUAAGAUGAACAUAUACUGUUAGAGGCUUCACAUGGAAUCGUAUCUGUUAUUCUGUCCCUGCGAGCACAUUUUAAGACAGUGCAUGCUGUUUUGAAACCCCCUCUGCUGGCUUUGUUUGAAAAUUGCUUGUUUCCAAGCUCUUUGCAGAAAAAUUUCCUGAUACUCAAAGAUAGCUGAAGGAUCCAAUCAGAGCCAGACAUAGUAGCACACAGAUGUUACUCCACUCUGGAAGUUGCAUUGGAACUGUCAUGUUCAAGGACAGCCUGCGCCAUGUGAUAAAAACACUGUCCCAAAGAAACGAAAGCAAAAGAAUCCAGUGGUUAAGAAUAAAAAUUUUAGAAGG